GGAUUAGAUACCCUGGUAGUCCACACCGUAAACGCUGUCUACUAGCUGUGUGUGUCUUUAAGACGUGCGUAGCGAAGCUAACGCGCUAAGUAGACCGCCUGGGGAGUACGGCCGCAAGGUUAAAACUCAAAUGAAUUGACGGGGGCUCACACAAGCGGUGGAGCAUGUGGCUUAAUUCGAAACAACGCGAAGAACCUUACCCAGGUUUGACAUGCUUGGAUGCGGCCCGGGGAUAACUCGGGUUCGCUGCCCUUCGGGGUGAAACUUGCACAGGUGUUGCAUGGCUGUCGUCAGCUCGUGCCG
rnacentral:rRNA from 1 species